AUUGAACGCUGGCGGCAGGCCUAACACAUGCAAGUCGAACGAGUGGCGGACGGGUGAGUAAUGUCUGGGAAACUGCCCGAUGGAGGGGGAUAACUACUGGAAACGGUAGCUAAUACCGCAUACCAUCGGAUGUGCCCAGAUGGGAUUAUCUUGUAGGUGAGGUAACGGCUCACCUAGGCGACGAUCCCUAGCUGGUCUGAGAGGAUGACCAGCGAAACGGGAAAUGGGACACGGUCCAGCUACCUCAGGGAGGCAGCAGUGGGGAAUAUUGCACAAGGGGCGAAAGCCUGAUGCAGCCAUGCCGCGGGGAUGAAGAAGGCCUUCGGUUUGGAAAGUACUUUCAGCGGGGAGGCGUUACCCGCAGAAGAAGCACCGGCUAACUCCGUGCCAGCCGCCUCGGUAAUUC
rnacentral:rRNA from 1 species